UGGUAGUUCAGUGUUAGAAUUCCUGGCUCCCAUGCAGGGUACCCAGGUUCAAUUCCUGGCUA
rnacentral:tRNA from 1 species